rnacentral:rRNA from 1 species
UACGUAGGGAGCAAGCGUUGUCCGGAAUCAUUGGGCGUAAAGCGCGCGUAGGCGGCCCCGUAAGUCCGCUGUGAAAGUCAAAGGCUCAACCUUUGAAAGCCGGUGGAUACUGUGGGGCUAGAGUCCGGAAGAGGCGAGUGGAAUUCCUGGUGUAGCGGUGGAAUGCGCAGAUAUCAGGAGGAACACCAAUGGCGAAGGCAGCUCGCUGGGACGGUACUGACGCUGAGACGCGAAAGCGUGGGGAGCGAACAGG